rnacentral:rRNA from 1 species
ACACUGACGUCGCGACGCAUAUCAAUAAGCGGAGGAAAAGAAACUAACAAGGAUUCCCUUAGUAACGGCGAGUGAAGCGGGAAGAGCUCAAAUUUGAAAUCUUCAAGGUUUUACCUUGACGAAUUGUAGUUUAAAGAAGUGUUUUUCUGUUGGAGUUUUGGUAAAAGUUCUUUGGAAUAGGACAUCAUAGAGGGUGAGAAUCCCGUAUUUGACCAUUAUUUCCAGCUUUGUGAUACACUUUCAAAGAGUCGGAUUGUUUGGGAAUGCAGUCCAAAAUGGGUGGUAAAUUUCAUCUAAAGCUAAAUAUUGGCGAGAGACCGAUAGCGAACAAGUACCGUGAGGGAAAGAUGAAAAGAACUUUGAAAAGAGAGUUAAACAGUACGUGUAAAUUGUCAAAAGGGAAGCGUUUGACACCAGUGUUGUUUUUCUCGAAAAUCAAUUUCAUGAAUGCAUUGGAUGCUAAGGUUGUUAUGACUUUAUCAGGCUUUACUGUCUAGUUUUCUUGUCUUUGUGAAUGCACUUUUCGGUUUAACAAGUCAACAUCAAUUUCUUUUGCUGUAAAAAGGGUAAGAGGGAAGGUGGCUUCAGCUUCGGUUUAAGUGUUUAUAGCCUUUUACCUCUGCAGUCGGAGAGAUUGAGGUCUGCAGCGUAGACUCUUUCGGGGUUAGAUACAUUUGUGCUAAGUUAUAGCUUUUUCAUAGACAACAUUGUUGACUAUGAUUUAGUCUUGUAGCUUACUCCGCAUUAUGCUAUUUUACCUACGCUUAGGAUGUUGACGCGCGUGUGUGCGUG